rnacentral:lncRNA from 1 species
GCAUAGUGACAGAGAGAGUACUAGCUUAGUAUGGUGUUAUGUCCGUUACCUUUUAGGGGUCCUUUGAUUAUCUUUAUAUAGAAGAGAUGCAGGAGUUUGUUAUACCUAAAUCUGUAGAUUGUCAGGAUAGGUUGUCUGCCCACUAACUAGAUUGUUAAUCAUGAGUGUUUUGAUAUGGCCAUAUUUUGAAAGUUUGUUUGAAGAUUCUAACUAAUUAUCCACGUGACCCAACUAGUCGGUGCACUGAGGUCGGCCUAUGGCCAAGGUGUCAUUCCGAUCAGAUCUGCCUGGAGGUGGAUCAUGGGACCUUAUCUUUUAUGGUGAUGAGACCCCGACCUGAA